rnacentral:lncRNA from 1 species
GGAGGCAGAGUGAAACUAACAACUUUUUUGCUCACGGAGAACUGGAGAACUGCAUGGGACGGGAAACUGCAUCGGAAGUUGGAAGCAGCAAGGAAAACGCUGGACACUGCUUCCAGAGCGGCCUUCCCACAGUCGGCAGUUGCCUGAUGUAAUCCUGAAGUUGGAGGGUGUGAUCUGUGACAAAUGGACCUGAGUCAAGGACAAGAUUUCCUUCAUGAAUAGACUUUAUCCAGUUAGUCACAGAGGAAGUAAAUAUGAAGGGGUCAUAUCAGAGUUUAUCUUCAGUGCAUCCAAGGGCAGACUUCCUGUGACCACCUCACCCCAACCAGAUGUAACAAAUUACCAGCUAACCACUUUAGGACCACUCACUCACUGCUCUGAAUGCAGAAGGAUAAUGUCUGUCACACAGGGAAGGAUUGACCUCAAAGGAAG